rnacentral:sRNA from 1 species
CAGCGGAGGGAUCAUUACCGAGUUAUACAACUCAUCAACCCUGUGAACAUACCUAAAACGUUGCUUCGGCGGGAACAGACGGCCCUGUAACAACGGGCCGCCCCCGCCAGAGGACCCCUAACUCUGUUUUUAUAAUGUUUUUCUGAGUAAACAAGCAAAUAAAUUAAAACUUUCAACAACGGAUCUCUUGGCUCUGGCAUCGAUGAAGAACGCAGCGAAAUGCGAUAAGUAAUGUGAAUUGCAGAAUUCAGUGAAUCAUCGAAUCUUUGAACGCACAUUGCGCCCGCCAGUAUUCUGGCGGGCAUGCCUGUUCGAGCGUCAUUACAACCCUCAGGCCCCCGGGCCUGGCGUUGGGGAUCGGCGGAAGCCCCCUGUGGGCACACGCCGUCCCUCAAAUACAGUGGCGGUCCCGCCGCAGCUUCCAUUGCGUAGUAGCUAACACCUCGCAACUGGAGAGCGGCGCGGCCAUGCCGUAAAACACCCAACUUCUGAAUGUUGACCUCGAAUCAGGUAGGAAUACCCGCUGAACUUAAGCAUAUCAAUAAGCGGAGGAAAAGAAACCAACAGGGAUUGCCCCAGUAACGGCGAGUGAAGCGGCAACAGCUCAGAUUUGAAAUCUGGCUCUCGGGCCCGAGUUGUAAUUUGUAGAGGAUGCUUUUGGUGAGGUGCCUUCCGAGUUCCCUGGAACG